ACAUCACGCAUAAGAUCCAAGCUCUGUUCUCGACCAACUCUGUCGAGAGUUGGUCACACUGCACAGGACAUCUGUUCUCAUGGUGACAGAUAAUCAUUUCAAUGGUUCUUUUCAGGGAGAAGGACCAGCAUUGCUACUGACAGGUCUUGAGAAUCAUCCGUCACCACAGGACACGGUGGACUGCCACACACAGGGUUCCUGGGGAGAGUGGGCUGUUUGGAGUGAUCGACACAGAGGCCUGGGAGGAGUCACUGUCCACAAAGCAACACCAACGUGGAGACAUCUGAGGGGCACCCGGAGAAAUCCUCGAUAUUUCGAUUGUGCCUUCAGCCUUUUAUAAACAGGAGCCGGCACCGAUGUUUCUCGGUGGAGGGGUCAGCUGACAGGUUCCGAUCAGCUGUGUCUGCCGUACAGAGAUGGAGCGCUCAGCGGUGUCUCCAACCUUCCCUCAGGCAACAAACUAGGGCAAGAGCCAGCUGGCUUGCUCUGAAUACCUCAGUCCCGCCGAUCUCCGGACCACCAGGUAGGCAUCGACCGCAUAGCAAAACAGCCACCAGAAGCAGGCGCUGUACAGCAGCUGGAUCCACAUCUGUCAUCGGGAAAAGCCGGCAUCAGAGCUCCCGGACAUAGGGCCUCCCUCGUGGCGCAAGUGGUUGAGAGUCCGCCUGCCGAUGCAGGGGAUACGGGUUCGUGCCCCGGUCUGGGAGGAUCCCAUAUGCCGCGGAGCGGCUGGGCCCGUGAGCCAUGGCCGCUGAGCCUGCGCGUCCGGAGCCUGUGCUCCGCAACGGGGGAGGCCACAACAGUGAGAGGCCCGCAUACCGCAAAAAGAAAAAAAAAAAAAAGCUCCCGGACAUGGGUUCCAGACUGC